UCCUCACUUUUCCUUUCGGCCGCUCUCCUUUCUUUUUCCUCUCAUAUUUUUUUUUCUUUUUCAUUUUCUUCUCAAAAUCCUCCGGCCCUGACGAAAUCUACCGGCCCUGACGAGGGGCUGGUGACCCACUAAAAAUAAAACUACCCUUUCCUAACUCAAAAUCGAGACACAAAUCACCUAAAAUAACACAAACCAACCCCAAAAGUAAAAGAACAAAUCACCUUCAAUGCUAGACCAAGCCUCCUCGUUGCUGGGGAAGUAGAACCCAAGCUUGAUAGAGAAAAUGAUGAUGGAUUGAUAGUGGGGGUGUGUUCGGCUGAUGCGAGAUGAUGAUGUUAGUACAGUGAUGAUGAUGAGAAUAGACGGUCAGAACAGUGGCGGCGGUGGGAGAAGCUCUUGGCUGCGGUGGCUAGAGCUAAUGAAUAGUUAGGGUUUCAACAAACCCUAAUUAAGUUAGGGUUUGGGCCUAUUAUGUUGGUCUUGAAGGUUGA